UGUGCACUUUUCUCUUAGUAAGACGCCGUGAUCCAUUAGAAAUUGGUAAAUGUCAAUUUACAUGAGGUCAUCAAUGGGCUUGUAUGAAGUUUAUUGGAACAAAUGGCAUGAUCUUCAACGGUUGUGUGUAUUGUCUGGUAAGCAUACAUGACUGUCUGAUGGAUUUUAAAGAUUAUAUUAUUAAUGAGAUGAGAAUAUAUAUAUCCGAUCAACGGUGGUUAAAUUUGGGAUACCUUUUGGACCCGUCUUGAAACACGGACCAAGGAGUCUAUCUAAUGUGCGAGUAAAUGGAUAUUUUGAAAUCUAUUUGCGUAAUAAACGUAACUAUUUUAUUGACUUCUUCCAUCCCGGAGUACUUUUAUCAACAUAUACGCAAGUAUAUGGAAAGUAUAUCAUGAGCAUAUUGGAUACGACCCGAAAGAUGGUGAACUAUGCCUGAUCAGGUCGAAGUCAGGGGAAACCCUGAUGGAGGACCGAAGCAGUUCUGACGUGCAAAUCG
rnacentral:rRNA from 1 species